rnacentral:tRNA from 1 species
GCCCAGGUGCUGGAAUUGGUAGACGGGCUCGGUUGAGGGCCGAGUGUCCUAACGGACGUGGGGGUUCGACUCCCCCCCUGGGCA